UCCCUGGAAGACUAGUGGUUAGGCCAUGGCACUCUCGCCGCUGUGGCCCAGGUUCAAUUCCCAGCCAGUGAA